UACAGAGGUCUCAAGCGUUGUUCGGAUUCAUUGGGCGUAAAGGGUGCGUAGGCGGCGCGGUAAGUCGGGUGUGAAAUCUCGGAGCUUAACUCCGAAACUGCAUUCGAUACUGCCGUGCUUGAGGACUGGAGAGGAGACUGGAAUUUACGGUGUAGCGGUGAAAUGCGUAGAUAUCGUAAGGAACACCGGUGGCGAAGGCGGGUCUCUGGGCAGUAACUGACGCUGAGGAGCGAAAGCGUGGGGAGCGAACAGG
rnacentral:rRNA from 1 species